rnacentral:rRNA from 1 species
CCUACGGGAGGCAGCAGUGAGGAAUAUUGGUCAAUGGACGAGAGUCUGAACCAGCCAAGUAGCGUGAAGGAUGACUGCCCUAUGGGUUGUACACUUCUUUUAUAAAGGAAUAAAACGAGGCACGUGUGCCUUUUUGCAUGUACUUUAUGAAUAAGGAUCGGCUAACUCCGUGCCAGCAGCCGCGGUAAUACGGAGGAUCCGAGCGUUAUCCGGAUUUAUUGGGUUUAAAGGGGGCGUAGAUGGGUUGUUAAGUCAGUUGUGAAAGUUUGCGGCUCAACCGUAAGAUUGCAAUUGUUACUGGCAGUCUUGAGUGCAGUAGAGGUAGGCGGAAUUCGUGGUGUAGCGGUGAAAUGCUUAGAUACCACGAAGAACCCCGAUUGCGAAGGCAGCUUACUAAACUGUGACUGACAUUGAUGCUCGAAAGUGUGGGUAUCAAACAGGAUUAGAUACCCUUGUAGUC